AUUUCUCAUGAAAAAGUGGAUAAGUGUCCAUAAACAGCGCCGAUCACAAUGAGCGAGCGUGUUUUUUAAAUAAAGUUUGAGGAAGCUUGAUGAUGACGUUGAUCCGCGACCGGUGCGCUGUAGUCCGUUUAUAGCAUACCGUUAGCAUUUUAUAUCUGACGGCUUUAUUUAGGCUUCAAAAUGUAUACAUUUUCGAUUAACUUAUAAAGAUUAUCUUGAUAGACAAAACGCGUAAGGUUCAUAACUCUUUGUUGAACACAGAUCUUAUUUUUUGCGAUUUUCCAAAAGUCUAUGGGAAAAAUGAAUGGCUUUUUGAUCGAGGGAACCCAUGCGCCGCUAACUUCCGGGUUGGCCUACAAAGUGACGUCAUGACUUCGGCACUCUAUUCACCUUAUUUUUCACGACAACAAGGGCGGCGCCAUUUCGCUCAUUUUGUCAACGUUCUUCCGGCCGCAUAGACGAUAAGCAGCUGAGGCAGUGACUGACGGCGACGAGUUAAGCUUAAAAAGCUCACUCGAGCGCCUUUUUGUUUCUUUCUUACCAAUUUUAAGCCAACUGAGGAACACCCUUAUCCCAAUUAAUGGUUCGACUACGAUGUUCCGGUAACUUUAAACCACGCCGGGUGUUGAAAAGGUGGCCAGUUUCAGAUGCAUUGCUGUGUAGUGAAGCAGAGGACAACUGUGAGGAUGAUACAAUCAACAUCUUCCUAAACUGUGAUGCAGAAACACAAUGGGAGGAUCCAUCCGUCUCUGACCACAACUACACUUUAAAAUCACAACUCAAUCUGAAGCAACCUACAUCUGAUAUGGGAAAACAAUGGUGCAGUUUCCCGGACAGGGCUUAUCCGGGUCCCAAGCUAAAAUGCAUAUUUGAGCUACAAUAAUUUAAAAACACCUUUUACUGACAUACCUCAACAUAUAUGAGUGUCAUUGUUUUGUCACAAGAUGCGCACCAGUCUUGUUUUUUGUAGGGUUUGUUUGUAAAAACUAAAAUGUCCUAAUAUAAUUAAAUCCUAGUCCUGUAAACCCUGUCCGAGAAACUGCUUCAAUGUGUUGAGCUGGCACAAAUGUACAUAUCUCUGCUGAGAAACAACCAUCUUUGGUUCAGCUUUACAGAGGGUUGAUAUUGCAUCCAUUACACAGAGUCGCCAAGCACUUUACCAGUACAUACACCAACAGCUUCCAGAAAAACACUUGGGAUCAGCUCCUGAUGACUCCGAUAAAGCUGUGUCUUAAUUUAUUGCAGGGUGGUCUUGCUUUACCUGUUGUAAAGUUACAUUAAACCUUCAUAUGUGAUCAGAUGUCAUGCAGUGAUAUUAAACAUUUACAGUGUGAUCAGAUGUUGUGCAUUUAUAUUAAACCUUUACAAUGUGAUCAGAUGUUGUGCAUUUAUAUUAAACCUUUACAAUGUGA